AAACUGGAAACCUCAGCCUCACUCUGAGGAAACCCCGCCUCUCUGACAGUGGAAACUACACCUGCACCAUCAGACCAGUUGGAGAGGAACCCAGACUGACAAACGUUCAGCUGCAGGUCAAAGAACCGUACACGUUCCCAACUGAAGCCACUGUUCUCCUGGUUCUUCUGGGUCUGGUUGCUGUUGUUGUUGUUGGUCUGGCUGUGUAUUUCUGGUUCUAUGUCAUCAGAGUCUCUAAGGUGGUGGUGGAGGUGGAGG